UCUCUCUGUCUCCCCGGAAGGACACGGUGACACCAGCACGAGGAGUCUGCAGCCCCGCCCAGAAACAGCCUGGCUUCUCAAGCGCAUGGGCUCUCCCCACCCUCUCAGCCUGGCUUUGGAAAGGAUGCGGGCGGUGCAGGAGGGAUCCGGAAGAGACGAGGCAGGAAGAAACUCCUGGUCCUUUCGCUUCAAGGGACGUGGCACUUAGGGUGAGCAUAGCUCUUCGCUGCCUAAUCUGGGACUGGGCGAAGAGGCCGCGCUGAGGGUGAUGUCCGAAAAAGAUGCAGGAGAUGUUUUAUAACUUGAUCCAGGUGCUAGUCGUCCCUCCUACACAUUUCUCCUCUCGGGAUCUCUCACUUGAAUCAGUGUUCCAGCCUCCAGUGAACCAGAGUCUUCCUAACGAGUGCACAAGAGGCCCGUUGUCCUUCAUUCCUCAGCUAUGGACUUCCCUGAAAGUUGAGAACUGACCAUAUUCUCUAUGCCUGCUCUGACCUGUGAUUUCACGACUCACAUCGCUUCCCCAGAACCUGCUUAACAGAAGGGAUUCCUGAGAAUGGAGCAGAAUUUGAAUUCAGAGUCCUGGCUUUGCCAUACCAGCAGUUAUAUUUGCCCUUCUGUUGUUUAAUGACUCCCUGCCCUGCUUCAAAAGGAAGAGAAAUCAAAUUAAAGAGUUGACGACCCUGAGCGCAAGGCCUCGGACGUUAUUCCCCAAACUCUGCUUUAAUAUCACCUCCUCAAAAGAAAUCUUCCCUGAACACCUUGUCUCAAGAUGUUCUCUAGUUUAUCUUCUU